rnacentral:rRNA from 1 species
AGUGAACGCUGGCGGUAGGCCUAACACAUGCAAGUCGAACGGCAGCACAGAGGAGCUUGCUCCUUGGGUGGCGAGUGGCGGACGGGUGUGGAAUACAUCGGAAUCUACUCUGUCGUGGGGGAUAACGUAGGGAAACUUACGCUAAUACCGCAUACGACCUACGGGUGAAAGCAGGGGAUCUUCGGACCUUGCGCGAUUGAAUGAGCCGAUGUCGGAUUAGCUAGUUGGCGGGGUAAAGGCCCACCAAGGCGACGAUCCGUAGCUGGUCUGAGAGGAUGAUCAGCCACACUGGAACUGAGACACGGUCCAGACUCCUACGGGAGGCAGCAGUGGGGAAUAUUGGACAAUGCGCGCAAGCCUGAUCCAGCCAUACCGCGUGGGUGAAGAAGACCUUCGGGUUGUAAAGCCCUUUUGUUGGGAAAGAAAUCCAUCUGGUUAAUACCCGGGUGGGAUGACGGUACCCAAAGAAUAAGCACCGGCUAACUUCGUGCCAGCCGCCGCCGUAA